GGGCGUGUAGCUCAGUUGGGAGAGCGCAUCCAUGGCAUGGAUGAGGUCGCAGGUUCGACCCCUGUCACGUCCACCA
rnacentral:tRNA from 1 species